AUUGAGCGCUGGCGGCAUGCUUUACACAUGCAAGUCGAACGGCAGCGCGGGCUUCGGCCUGGCGGCGAGUGGCGAACGGGUGAGUAAUGCAUCGGAACGUGCCCAGUAGUGGGGGAUAGCCCGGCGAAAGCCGGAUUAAUACCGCAUACGACCUGAGGGUGAAAGCGGGGGACCGAAAGGCCUCGCGCUAUUGGAGCGGCCGAUGUCGGAUUAGCUAGUUGGUGGGGUAAAGGCUUACCAAGGCGACGAUCCGUAGCUGGUCUGAGAGGACGACCAGCCACACUGGGACUGAGACACGGCCCAGACUCCUACGGGAGGCAGCAGUGGGGAAUUUUGGACAAUGGGGGCAACCCUGAUCCAGCCAUGCCGCGUGCGGGAAGAAGGCCUUCGGGUUGUAAACCGCUUUUGUUCGGGAAGAAAUCCUCUGGGCUAAUACCCCGGGGGGAUGACGGUACCGGAAGAAUAAGCACCGGCUAACUACGUG
rnacentral:rRNA from 1 species